GAUCAUGGCUCAGGAUGAACGCUAGCUACAGGCUUAACACAUGCAAGUCGAGGGGAAACGAUAUUGGAAGCUUGCUUUUGAUGGGCGUCGACCGGCGCACGGGUGAGUAACGCGUAUCCAACCUGCCCAUCACUUGGGAAUAACCUUGCGAAAGUAAGACUAAUGCCCAAUGAUAUCCCACGAAGGCAUCCGAAUGGGAUUAAAGAUUUAUCGGUGAUGGAUGGGGAUGCGU
rnacentral:rRNA from 1 species